ensembl:lncRNA
CUCAACAGGAAUGGGGAAUAACGUCAACAAAAGGAACAGAACUGGACCUUGCCUGAUGCAGACACACUGGGACUUGUCAGAGUUAUCAAAGCUCCCAGAAACGUUGCUCUUAGUACUAGCAGUGUGUGUGCCACUCUUCCUGCAGCAAAGGGAAGCUCAAAGGAAGGCAGCAGGUUUGUCCCAGUGCAACACUGUGCAGCUCCGGUCCCGUGCUGAAACAAAAGACCCAGUGGAGCAACUGCAGUGGACCUUCAUGCUGUGCUUCAGCCCUUCUUCCCAUCCAAACCAAAGUCCUCUGCUUCUCCAAAGGAACAGCCGCCUCUGUAGCUUCUGUGACCCCGCCUGGAGGCCGCAGGGAGCUCGGGGCCGUCUGCUGGACUCCUCCUGCUGUCCUGGUGCAGCAGCUCAGAGGACAGCAGUGCCAGUCGUUCCCAUUUCCUCAGAGCUCGGGGAAGAAGAGGAUGGUGUUGGCUUUCAGUGAGAACUGUCCUGCCUUUCUUUACCUCAAACUAGAAGUGGGGUAAAGUAAAUCCUUCAGGCAUACCUUCCAGGGGAGCAGCAGUCACUUCCUCCAGAGGCUGCAUUAAGCACAGCAACAAAUCAGAGCAGAUGUGGCUCAAUGAAACCAUCGUGCAGCUCAGGAUGAGUGAGGUGGCUACAGACAGCUUUGAAUAUGUGUGUGCUUGUGUGUCUGUGUACAAUAUAGCCGAAGAAGCCUCCACUGCUGUUUGUGCUGCAGAACAGAUGACUUGGAAAAGGCUCUCGAAGUUCUGGGACUUCACCCUGACAUGUCCUGGAUUUGAACAUCCCCAGGUCUGGAGGCUGCCUGCUGGCUGGUGUGGGCUUAUCUCUGCAGGAGGCAAGCUGAAGCGCUCCGUGCCAUUGCCAUGCUUUUUAAAUGAGGAGGAGAAGAGGAAAGCUGAAGCCUUUACUCUGCCUGUUGGAUGAAAAUUAUUUGUGGCUGAUGAACGGCUGAGUAGCAAUAUGCAAAUUCCCCUGGAUGUACAUAGAAUGGUCGUCUGUGGCACAGCAGCAUUAGUCUGGCUGUAGGAUGAUUCACAUGCCUGAAGAAUAAAAGGUGCUUCACCUCAAAUAAUACCGUUUUUGUGCUUAUUGUUAUCGCUGUGAUUAAACCUCUGCCACUGUCUGAUUUUGGAGACUGGUGAACAUCAGCCGUUCUUAGAGACAGCAGAGCCAGAAUUACCUAUGGCUGCGGAGGGGAUCUGGGACAGUGCGGCUAAGGAGAGCACAGUGUGUUUCUAAGUGGGCUACAGAACAUCAUUAUCAUAUUUCUUCUGGAACCUGCUUUCUGGGCUGAAACACAGAAUGGCUUCCACUGAAGGUGUGUAUAGAAUCAGAGGGCUAUUCCACACCUGUAAACUGGACAACCAUCAUGGUGCCUAUGGGAUCUGUUCAGGCCACAUCUAUUAGGAACCUGGCCUGUGCAGCCCAGAAGACAGCUAGAGAUGGAUGGUGCUGGCGUGCGGCCACUUCGGAAGACAGAGCUGGAUCAGCCUGCCGGGGACAGAGGCAGACAAAUGGAACCUGCAGGACAAGCAUGCCAUUACCUUGUUUGCCAAACUCAUUACAGAGAAGUUGCAAAGUUCCAGUAUGCUGCCCCUGGCCUCCGAGACAAAGCUGUCAGCUGGUUCGUGAAUAAUUCCAGGCCACAUUCAGGCAGCCCGUUGUCGCUUGGCGCCCAGCAUGCUGCAGGUGAAGAUGGAAGCUCCAGCCCCAAGGAGGAAUAAUGCUGACCCCCAUCAGCACCAGCUCCUCACACUCAGCAGAGAUCAGGUGCUCUGGGGCAGAAAGCCCUGACUCAUGGCAAUCCAAGCUUCAGACAAAGUUGGUUGGAGCACCAUGAUCAUAAACUCCAUCAUAGAUUGGCUAUCAGCAGGAUGGAGGAAGAAGUAUGUCAUAACUUCUGUAACAGACUGCAAAUGCUUUGGCCAAUGGAUUGAUGUGCCCUGUGAUUUAACAGGUGGCUGCAUGCUUCGCAGAUGAAUCGAUAUGGAGGAAGAAAGCCCUAAUUUGCUGCAUCCUUUGACUUUUCAAGUCAUGACCAAUGGAGACGUUUCAAAAUCAUGGCUCAGAGGUACCUGGCAAAGCUCCCGUGGUGCUGCACCUUGCUGUCUCCUGCACUGAUGGACUAGGAGUGGCCAUCUACGUUUUUUAUUUGCAAAAACAGAAUCCCUUUCAGCACAGCCAAACUCUUCUCUUUGAGAUUCAACAUAGCCAAACUCUUCUUUUUUAAUCUCUCCAUCUGCAAAGCUUCCCAAAUACUUCUGUAAGCAUUAGUUGUUGGGAAAAGAUUGGGUUCUAGCCUUGAUAAGUAGGCUUGCACAGUGCUCAUGGUGGUUGCAAUACCACCGUCUGCACUGCUAGUGAUUGAUAUCUGACAGUCAGAAUAAAUUCUCUGUAUCUGUUAGGCUGACAGAGUCAGAUCUACCCCUGUUAGUCUUCUGCAAGUGAGAGCCUCUGGAGCUCCAUGAAUGUGCACAAAUAUGAAUCUGAAGCAUCACCAUCCUUGCAUAGGAGUAUGGACUCAAUGAUCCUUAUGGGUCUCUUCCAACUUGGGAUUUGCUAUGAUUCUGUGAUUUUAUGAGUUCAAUUGUACAAGUCUAUGUAAUUAAGCAAAAGCUUCUCCUUACAAACAUCAUUUGUAAAUGCUGAUUGCAUUCAACUGAGAUGUGAAAUAUCUGUUGACAUUAACCCAAGCUUUGGCCCAGGUGAGGAGCAAAGCUCGUAGAGCUGCUCAUGGAUUUUCCUCACAUUGAAGUGUUAAAGUUGAGAAGGACUGGAAUGACUGGUACCCACUGGGGUUGCCUGGUAAGAAUGGUGUUGCCUUCCCUUCCCUUCCAGGCCUGCUGACUAUGAGUGUGAUUAAAGACAGGUCAGGAAGGGCUGCCUGCUAAUAAUUUUAUAGAGGAAAUCUCUUGCAUUAUUCAUCAGACAUAUAUGGCCUGUUCUAAGAGGAGAGAAAAUAGAGAAGCACCUUUGGUUGUAUUGUAACAUCUGCGAGUACAGCUGGUUCUUUUUCUGUGUUCCACUUAUUAUGGGCAAUUUGUAUGUUUUCUUCUCCAUCUUCAGUUAAAAAAAAAAAGAAAGAAAAAAAAUUUCUCUGAAGAGAAGGAACUUGCAAAGCUUGUUAUUACCAGGGCAAAACUCCCACUCCUCCUGUAGAGACAGGAACUGCCAAGCUCUUGUUCAGCCUUGGCUGUAAUACCUACUAUCAUUUCUGAGCCUUCACGUAAUCAGGUAAUUUAAUAUAAUUCCUCCACUUUCAAUCAAGCCUGGUGAGCAGAUGUCAGGAUUCAACCCCUGGGUUUUGUCUGCUGCUGCAGCCUGGUACCAGUGCUCAUGGCAGAGCCCACCUUUGCUCACCCUGUUGCUCUGGGUGGGAUGGGGGCCCUGGGCUGGACUAGGCUCCACCUGGAUAGGAAUGGAGAUAAGCACCUUCUUCCUUAAAGUGCAGGAACAAAAAGAUUGUCAGUGUUUUCUGAGCAGCGUGUGAGCAGUUGCUGUUUCACAGCCGCAGUAUUACCAUGCUGCGUCUCAGCUGAUGAGAAAGAUAAGGAUGAGGGAGAACAGAUGCUGGGAACAGAUAAAUGGGGAUGAAGGAGAACAGAUGUUGGGAUUUUGUAUGAGAUUUGCUCUGUCUUGAUUCAUAAGUUUGGCCAGCAAAUGCAAUGACCACAUUUCUCGUGUCUCUGAGUAGCAACAUUGACCCUACUGAAGAUGUGAAGCUUAACCCACAAAUACCCACAGAGUGUUUUGAUGAAAAAUAGCAAGACAAUAUUUAGUGAUUAUUUUUACUAUUAGGCAAGAUUUUAGCAUCCCUUCCCAGGCAGCUGCUUCAGAAAUAACACUUUGUUCUUGAAGCGUAGAAAGCCUUGUGUACGCUGCCUGCGUAUGGCAGGAUCAGCUUCUCCUGGGAAGCUGCAUCCAUCAGCAUCCUUUAGGAUCUGAGUCCAGCACCACUGCUGCUUCAGAACUGCACAAAAUACAAGCUCUGCUUUAUGUUUGGGUUGGACAGGGAACAGCACACGUGUAUGUUUUUGCCCACACUGCUGAAGGUUUGGGAUCUUCUGUUUUAGAAGCAGUGUUGGGUUAGAUGGACUCAUGGCUUAGGACCAUUUGUUUUGUUAUGAGCUACCUAAUGAUGUGUAAUCUUGUCAUGCCCACUCCCUGAGAAGGGCUGGAUGUGGGUGCUUGGCAUGUUGCAUUAGCAUAAUUUUUCUAAUCUGGAGUUGCUAAGCAUCCCAAGAAACAAUGUGAGAGCUACGUGGAAGACAGAAUCCUGGACACAUUAUGUAGCAUAAGCAUCAGUGGCAAUUUGGGAGGCUCACAAUGUAUGUGAGGUUAAUGCAUAGUAUGUGACAGUUGUCUGGCAUGUGGAUUUUGUGAACAAUCUUAACUAGACUGUUGGAAAUUAUAACCAGGAGCAGGGAGAGAUGCACUUUGUUGGGAAAAACAACAGCAACAGGGAAGGAGAUGAGCAUGUUUCUGAGUUGCUUUUGUCAUUUGUGUUUAUGUCCCAAGGGAUGGUCUAACUGCUCCCUCGUGCCCAAUAGUGUGCUUAGAGUACUGGCUGACUGAGGCUUGCUCUAACACUCGCCUUCCCUUCCCUUCCCUUCCCUUCCCUUCCCUUCCCUUCCCUUCCCUUCCCUUCCCUUCCCUUCCCUUCCCUUCCCUUCCCUUCCCUUCCCUUCCCUUCCCUUCCCUUCCCUUCCCUUCCCUUCCCUUCCC